GAUGAACGCUAGCUACAGGCUUAACACAUGCAAGUCGAGGGGUAACGAGAGGAAAGCUUGCUUUCCUUGUCGACGACCGGCGCACGGGUGAGUAACGCGUAUCCAACCUGCCCCCAACUAGGGAAUAACCUUGCGAAAGUAAGACUAAUACCCUAUAAUUUCCUCAGAUGUCAUCUGACGAGGAAUAAAGAUUUAUCGGUUGUGGAUGGGGAUGCGUCUGAUUAGCUUGUUGGCGGGGUAACGGCCGACCAAGGCAACGAUCAGUAGGGGUUUUUAGAGGAAGGUCCCCCACAUUGGAACUGAGACACGGUCCAAACUCCUACGUGAGGCAGCAGUGAGGAAUAUUGGUCAAUGGGCGGAAGCCUGAACCAGCCAAGUAGCGUGCAGGAUGACGGCCCUAUGGGUUGUAAACUGCUUUUAUACAGGAAUAAAGUUAGCCACGUGUGGUUAUUUGUAGGUACUGUAUGAAUAAGGACCGGCUAAUUCCGUGCCAGCCGCCGCGGUAA
rnacentral:rRNA from 1 species